GAUGAACGCUGGCGGCGUGCCUAACACAUGCAAGUCGAGCGAGAAGCUCAUCACAGAUGCUUCGGUUGAAGUGAUGAGUGGAAAGCAGCGGACGGGUGAGUAACGCGUAGGCAACCUGCCCUUUGCAGAGGGAUAGCCUCGGGAAACCGGGAUUAAAACCUCAUGACACCUCUUAAAGACAUCUUUGAGAGGUCAAAGAUUUAUCGGCAGAGGAUGGGCCUGCGUCUGAUUAGCUAGUUGGUGGGGUAACGGCCUACCAAGGCGACGAUCAGUAGCCGACCUGAGAGGGUGAUCGGCCACAUUGGAACUGAGACACGGUCCAAACCCCUACGGGAGGCAGCAGUGGGGAAUAUUGCACAAUGGGGGAAACCCUGAAGCAGCAACGCCGCGUGUAGGAAGAAGGCCUUUGGGUCGUAAACUUCUGUUCUAAGGGAAGAUGAUGACGGUACCUUAGGAGCAAGUCCCGGCUAACUACGUGCCAGCAGCCGCCGUAAAAC
rnacentral:rRNA from 1 species